rnacentral:lncRNA from 1 species
GGUGUUUCACCAAAGUUUUUUAUUUUUUUUACAAGUCAUUGUAAACAUGUAAAUUGUAAUUUUAUUUCUAAGUGUAAUCAAAAUUAAAAAAAAAAUAGUGAAAACAUUUUACAUUUUGAAAUUUUGUAUAGGGACAUUGAAAACGAAACCCUUUCAAUGACGAAGACAGGUGAAGACGACUAUAUUGGUGAAGAAGAUUGGUGAAAAGUGUUGGGUUCAAUGAUGAAGAUUCUUGAUGAGUGUGAGACCACUACAAUUAAGGUUAUUGUUUUGUGGGUUUAUUUUGAUGUCAAAAUUGGUUUUUUUUUUCGAGGUACUUUGUUGUUCUAUAUUUGCAUUUAUUGUGUGGUUGUGGGUUUUGGUUUCAUUUAGGGUUAUUGUUUAGUUCGAAUGAUUGUUAUAUACAAAUGUAGGACAUGAGUUUCAAUGUAGUCUUUCAUCAGAUAGGGAAGUUCGGAAAGAGUAGAUGGAGGGGAUUUCGUUAUGAGGGUGGAGAGAAACAUUUGGUGUGAGGUGUAGAUCUUGAUAUGUGGUCAUAUUUUGAAGCUUUGGGAAUAAUCAAGAAGUUUAAAUAUGUAGGUGAGAUGAAGCUUUUGGUGUAAGCCAAAGAAAGACAUCAUGGAUAAAGAUUCCAGGCCUCCGACUUUAGAUAGAGAUGAUAUGAAGUUAACUAUGAUGUAAAAGUAAUAAAGAUGAGAUUGAGAUUUAUAUGGAGCAUCUAAUUAGUUGAACUUAGAUAGUUGAAUUCAUUAAAGGUUCCAACAAAUAAGGAGUGAAUGCUAGUGUGCUAAUGAAGAAGAAGAGGUUGUUGAAGGUGCUGAUGGUGGUGAGAAUGAAUAAGAGGUUGUUGAGACUGGUGGGAAUGAAGAAGAAGAGGUUGUCGAGGGUGUUCAUGGUGAUGGGAAUAAAGAAGACGAAGUUGUCAUUAAAUGAAGAAGAAAAGGGUGUUGGUGUUCAUGGUGGUGAGAAUGAAGAAGAUGAGGUUGUCCUGGAUAAUGAGGUGUUGGUUCGUCUGAUACAAACUUGAUGUUGGCAACUAUGAUGAGCUUGAUACUAAUAUGGAUAGUGAUGGUGAUAAUGAUUGUGGUAGAGGGUAGAAAUUUCCUAUGUUUAGAGCUGAAGAUAUGUGCACGAACUUCAAGUUCACAUUGGUUAUGGAGUUUUGUUUGUUGAAGGAGUUUAGUGAACAAUUUAUCUAAGUACUUCAAUAGCACAAUAUUGAUAGCUUAGUAUAAACCAAUAAUUACAAUGAU